rnacentral:lncRNA from 1 species
AAAAAAAAAAAAAACUCAAUCUCUCUCUCAAACGGCACUUCUCCUCUGCCUCGCCCAGUCUCGCCGUGAAUCUCUUUUGCCAGUCCCCUCUCUCGACUCCGGCCCUCUCUCCUCACUCUCUCGCUGCCGUCUCUCUCUCUCGUGCUUCACACCACCACCUCUUGCCGGUAAAAGACCACCAUUCUUCAUUCUCAGGUAUUUUUUUUGGUUUAGAUCUUGGGUUUCUAGGGAAAGGACUAGAUAGAUUUGUGUAUCAACAAACAGUGAAGAGUUUUGACUCUCUUUCUUCUGUUUCUUCGUUUAGCUUCUGAGGACAAGAAUCCGUUGGAAGAGAGAGAGAGAGAGAGAAUUAGUGACCAUUGACUGGCUCUUAAUCUGUUUUCAAUUUUGCGUUUUACAUCAAAAUUACCGACUCGCUACUUUCUCCAUCCUCGUAUAAUGUCCUGGGUUUUGCUUUUGGUGUUCGACCUAGUCCGUUUUUUUUGUUCCCCUUCCGAUUAAGUUAUCCGAUUAUUUAGAAAGUUGGCUCCUAUUUCUCCUUUCCGAUUCAUUAUGUGACUAUGUAGAAAGCUUCCGAUCUUUGUGCUGUUAGUAGAUUUAACUUGUCUUAAAAACGCGUUUUCCUUUCUGAGUUUUUGGUGAGAUUGUUUUUGGGAUUUUCUGAUUUGUACUUCAGGUAAUUCGAUCCCUUUUAUGAAAUUCCGAUAGCUCUCUUACAAAAACUUGAUUGUUUCUGCCUCGAGUCAGCAAUCAUUUUGGUACUAAGUUGGUGUAUGACUUAGUUACGUCUGUGAUUUGAUAUGUCAGAUUUUUCACAGGCUGUGUGAUUUUCUUACAAACUGAGGCCAGAAGCAUUGAUUGGGUUAUUUGAAGUAAAGGAAAAGCAAAAAGAACAAGCUCAAAAUGCUAAUAGAGGAGGAGCAAAAAAAACAAGCUUCUAUGAAGAAGUAAUCUGAUGAUCAUGACGUGAUGAAAAGCAAAGCGGUCACUAGCCACUAGCCACUUCACUGGUUCCAGAUGUUUUUUUCAAAAUUGGUUUGAUUUCUUUACUGUAACUUUUGUGGUGUUGUGAUAUGAACUUGUCUUCUCAUUUUAACCUUGUAUAUCUUUGUGAUCUAGGUCUUUUGUAAUACUUUUAAUAUCAACAAAAUAUGUUAUUCCUCUUUUGCCCAUAUAAACGAGCGAAGCUUAGUGCUAUCAAAAAUAAAAUUAAACGUUAUCAAUAUAUACAAC